rnacentral:tRNA from 1 species
UCCCUGGUGGUCCAGUGGUUAGGACUCUGAGCUUUCACUGCCAAGGGCCUGGGUUUGAUUCCUGGUUGGGGAG